CGCGUAGGUGGUAAUGCAAGUCUGGGGUGGAAUCCCAGGGCUUAACCCUGGAACUGCCUUGGAAACUGUAUUACUUGAGUCAGUGAGGGGAGGGUAGAAUUCCUGGUGUAGCGGUGAAAUGCGUAGAUAUCAGGAGGAAGGCCUGUGGCGAAGGCGGCCCUCUGGCGCUGAACUGACACUGAGGCGCGAAAGCGUGGGGAGCAAACAGGAUUAGAUACCCUGGUAGUCCACGCCCUAAACGGUGGGUACUAGGUGUAGGGCUCGUAAGGGUUCUGUGCCGAAGCGAAAGCAUUAAGUACCCCGCCUGGGGAGUACGACCGCAAGGUUGAA
rnacentral:rRNA from 1 species